CCUACGGGGGGCAGCAGUGAGGAAUAUUGGUCAAUGGGCGGGAGCCUGAACCAGCCAAGUCGCGUGAGGGAAGACGGUCCUACGGAUUGUAAACCUCUUUUGCCGGGGAGCAACGGGGUCCUUGCGAGGUCCCAAUGAGAGUACCCGAAGAAAAAGCAUCGGCUAACUCCGUGCCAGCAGCCGCGGUAAUACGGAGGAUGCGAGCGUUAUCCGGAUUUAUUGGGUUUAAAGGGUGCGUAGGCGGGACGGUAAGUCAGCGGUAAAAAUGCGGAGCUCAACUCCGUCGAGCCGUUGAAACUGACGUU
rnacentral:rRNA from 1 species